rnacentral:rRNA from 1 species
CUCCGGUUGAUCCUGCCGGACCCGACUGCUAUCAGAGUGGGACUAAGCCAUGCGAGUCAACAUAGCAAUAUGUGGCAUACGGCUCAGUAACACGUAGUCAACAUGCCCAGGGGACGUGGAUAACCUCGGGAAACUGAGGAUAAACCGCGAUAGGUCAUCACUUCUGGAAUGGGUAAUGACUUAAAUCUAUAUGGCCCCUGGAUUGGACUGCGGCCGAUCAGGCUGUUGGUGAGGUAAUGGCCCACCAAACCUGUAACCGGUACGGGCUCUGAGAGGAGAAGCCCGGAGAUGGGCACUGAGACAAGGGCCCAGGCCCUAUGGGGCGCAGCAGGCGCGAAACCUCUGCAAUAGGCGAAAGCCUGACAGGGUUACUCUGAGUGAUUUCCGCUAAGGGGAUCUUUUGGCACCUCUAAAAAUGGUGCAGAAUAAGGGGUGGGCAAGUCUGGUGUCAGCCGCCGCGGUAAUACCAGCACCCCGAGUGGUCGGGACGAUUAUUGGGCCUAAAGCAUCCGUAGCCGGUUCUGCAAGUCUUCCGUUAAAUCCAGCCGCUCAACGGAUGGGCCGCGGAGGAUACUACAGGACUAGGAGGCGGGAGAGGCAAGCGGUACUCAGUGGGUAGGGGUAAAAUCCUUUGAUCCAUUGAAGACCACCAGUGGCGAAGGCGGCUUGCCAGAACGCGCUCGACGGUGAGGGAUGAAAGCUGGGGGAGCAAACCGGAUUAGAUACCCGGGUAGUCCCAGCUGUAAACGAUGCAGACUCGGUGAUGGGCUAGCCUUGUGCCAGCCCAGUGCCGCAGGGAAGCCGUUAAGUCUGCCGCCUGGGGAGUACGGUCGCAAGACUGAAACUUAAAGGAAUUGGCGGGGGAGCA